rnacentral:rRNA from 1 species
GAGUUUGAUUCUGGCUCAGAUUGAACGCUAGCGGGAUGCCUUACACAUGCAAGUCGAACGGCAGCAACAGGGAGCUUGCUCUCUGGUUGGCGAGUGGCGAACGGGUGAGUAAUGUAUCGGAACGUGCCCAGUAGCGGGGGAUAACUACGCGAAAGCGUAGCUAAUACCGCAUACGCCCUACGGGGGAAAGGGGGGGAUCGCAAGACCUCUCACUAUUGGAGCGGCCGAUAUCGGAUUAGCUAGUUGGUGGGGUAAAGGCCUACCAAGGCGACGAUCCGUAGCUGGUUUGAGAGGACGACCAGCCACACUGGGGCUGAGACACGGCCCAGACUCCUACGGGAGGCAGCAGUGGGGAAUUUUGGACAAUGGGGGGAACCCUGAUCCAGCCAUCCCGCGUGUGCGAUGAAGGCCUUCGGGUUGUAAAGCACUUUUGUCAGGGAAGAAAAGCGCAGAGUUAAUACCUUUGCGUG